GACGAGGUGGCCGAGUGGUUAAGGCGAUGGUUUGCUAAGCCAUUGUGCUCUGCACGCGUGGGUUCGAGUCCCAUCCUCGUCG
rnacentral:tRNA from 1 species